AGGAUGAAUGCUGGCGGCGCGCCUAACACAUGCAAGUCGAGCGGUAAGGCCCUUAGGGGUACACGAGCGGCGGACGGCUGAGUAACGCGUGGGAACAUGCCCCAAAGUGAGGAAUAACUGCCCGAAAGGGUAGCUAAUGCCGCAUAUGAUCUUAGGAUUAAAGGAUUUAUCCGCUUUGGGAGUGGCCUGCGUACGAUUAGAUAGUUGGUGAGGUAAAGGCUCACCAAGUCGACGAUCGUUAACUGUUCUGAGAGGAUGAUCAGUCAGACUGGAACUGAGACACGGUCCAGACUCCUACGGGAGGCAGCAGUGAGGAAUCUUCCACAAUGGGCGAAA
rnacentral:rRNA from 1 species